rnacentral:rRNA from 1 species
CAGUAGCCGCGGUAAUACGAAGGGGGCUAGCGUUGCUCGGAAUUACUGGGCGUAAAGCGCACGUAGGCGGCUUGGUAAGUUAGAGGUGAAAGCCCGGAGCUCAACUCCGGAAUUGCCUUUAAGACUGCCGAGCUAGUAGGUGAGAGAGGUAAGUGGAAUUCCGAGUGUAGAGGUGAAAUUCGUAGAUAUUCGGAAGAACACCAGUGGCGAAGGCGGCUUACUGGCUCAUUCUAGACGCUGAGGUGCGAAAGCGUGGGGAGCAAACAGGAUUAGAUACCCCCGUAGUCCCUGUCUCUUAUAC